UGCCGCUGGAUGGGCCGGAACAUCUCCAGCAUCUCGCGGAUGUCGUCGAGCGCCGCCAUGAUCUGGGCCCGGCUCGUGUCCACGCGCGGCAC
rnacentral:tRNA from 1 species